rnacentral:rRNA from 1 species
UUCCGGUUGAUCCUGCCGGAGGACAUUGCUAUUGGGAUUCGAUUUAGCCAUGCUAGUCGGACGAGUUUAUACUCGUGGCAGAUAGCUCAGUAACACGUGGCCAAGCUACCCUUCAGUCGGCAAUACCCUCGGGAAACUGAGGUUAAUGGCCGAUAUGGGACGCCUGCUGGAAUGCGGCGUUCUCUAAAGAUUACGCUGAAGGAUGCGGCUGCGGCCGAUUAGGUUGACGGUGGGGUAACGGCCCACCGUGCCAGUAAUCGGUACGGGUGAUGAGAGUCAGAGCCCGGAGACGGAAUCUGAGACAAGAUUCCGGGCCCUACGGGGCGCAGCAGGCGCGAAACCUUUACACUGCACGGAAGUGCGAUAGGGGAAUCCCAAGUGCGAGGGCAUAUUCGCCCUCGCUUUUGUUGACCGUAAGGUGGUCAACGAAUAAGAGCUGGGCAAGACCGGUGCCAGCCGCCGCGGU